CACUUUUUUGUCGGGCAGUGUGAGGAAUGCCUCCUUUUGGGGUUAAAUAUUAUGGGUGUGAAUUCCUUUAACGUGCAUGUUCCCUUCGGAUACAUUGGCUUUGAGGCUUAUUAUUAAUGUGGCAUGCUUUUGUGUGGAUUCUUUGGUUUUUCCCGUGCAUGUUUUAUAGAUAAAGGGGAUGGAGGUUUCGAGGAUGUUUCCACCUUGGUGAUGGGUGACGGAGAAUUAGGGUUCGAUUCCGGAGAGGGAGCCUGAGAAAAAACUACCACAUCCAAGUAAGGCAAUAGACACGCAAAUUACCCAAUCCUAACAUGGGGAGGUAGUGAUAGUAAAUAACAAUAUUGGGCUCAUCGAGUCUGGUAAUUGGAAUUAAUGCAAUCUAAAUCCCUUAACGAGGAUCCAUUGGAGGGAAAGUUUGGUGCCAGCAGCCGGGGUAAUUCCAGCUCCAACAGUGUAUAUUUAAAUUGUUGCAGUUAAAAAUCUCGUAGUUGGAUCUUGGGUCGUAAAGGUCGGUCCUCCUACUCAGUGUGCACCUGCCCUUCCGUCCCUUUUGUAGGUGGCAUGCUCCUGGCCUUAAUUGAUUGGGUCGCAGUUCCGGCGUUGUUACUUUGAAAAAAUUAGAGUGCUCAAAGCAAGAUUAUGCUCUGAAUACAUUAACAUGGAAUAACAUGAUAGGAGUCUGGUCCUAUUGUGUUGACCUUCGGGACCAGAGUAAUGAUUAAUAGGGAUUGUCAGGGGCAUUCGUAUUUCAUUGUCAGAGGUGAAAUUCUUGGAUUUAUGAAAGAUGAAACACUGCAAAAGAAUUUUCCAAGGAUGUUUUCAUUAAUCAAGAACGAAGUUUGGGGGCUCGAAGAUGAUCAGAUACCUUCCUAGUCUCAACCAUAAAAGAUGUCGACCAAGGAUCGACGAAUGUUGCUCUAAGGACUCCGCUAGCACCUUCUAAGAAAUUAGAGUGUUUGGGUUCCAGGGGGAGUAUGGUCGCAAGGAUGAAACUUAAAGGUCAUAUUAAAAAACUCUUGGUCACCC
rnacentral:rRNA from 1 species